rnacentral:lncRNA from 1 species
UGCUUCCUUAGUUGUAUCCAAAUAAUGUUGGUUUGUUACACUGAUUAUCCAAAAAGAAUAAAAAAUGCUUAAAAAAACUUGUUAUAUUUUUUUCAAAUAAUGUUUGUUCUGUACUAUUAUUCUGUCAUAAGGUACUCCAAGAUUUUAGAAGGAUGCUGCAGAGACAUUGAGGCAUGGUUACUUAGUUUUGGCGGGGAACAAAUGAAAAGAAGCGCAAAAUUCAUUCGAUAAAUUGGGGCGAGCGAAAAACAAAGGACGACUCGGAUUUAGUGUCAGAUUUUUUUUUAUUAUUAUUUUGUCGGCUACAAUCAACCGUAGGUUUUGGUCUUAUUAAAAUAUAAUAAUGUUGUGGUCCAUUUGUUGAUGCUUAGGUCCGAUAAACAUGAUCAAUUGAUAAUGAAUGUAGCUGCUGUAUUUUAUUUCUUUUAUUAUAAAGAAAAUGAAUAUCUAAUAGAUUCAUUAGUUGUGUGCUUAUAAUUGUAUGCAUAAUAGAAAAUGAUAAUACCAUUAAAAUGCUUGAUAAUAUAUGUUCACUUGCGAAAUGUAGGACUAUAGAUAAAGGAUAAAUAUGCUGUAUCAAAAAACUAGAAUAAAUGAUAAAUGAUUACAUUAUAGAAUCAUUUUUUGAGGGAACAUUAUAGAAUCAUAUUUCCUUUACUAACCUACUAAACAUUAGGACAACGACACAUGAACCCAGCAAUACAUUUUGGUAAUUCAGACUUGUUUCUACAUAAAAGAGAUGGACAAUCACUGUCCUGAGUGCACUUGUGAAAGAAUUCAAAAAAGUUUCCACUUACAACAAGAGUUAUAUGAAUAAAUAGGAUCAUAGCAUAUAAAAACUUGUGAAUUGUACCCAUAUUUUAUUUCUUC